AACGAACGCUGGCGGCAUGCCUAACACUUGCNAGUCUGAACGCGUGGAGCGAUCCACGAGUGGCGCACGGGUGAGUAACGCGUGGGAACCUGCCCUGGAGUGGGGGAUAACCCGGCGAAAGCCGGGCUAAUACCGCAUACGCCCUUGAGUAACAUCGAGGGGAAAGAUUUAUCGCUCUUGGAGGGGCCCGCGUCGGAUUAGCUAGUUGGUGAGGUGACGGCUCACCAAGGCGAUGAUCCGUAGCUGGUCUGAGAGGAUGAUCAGCCACACUGGGACUGAGACACGGCCCAGACUCCUACGGGAGGCAGCAGUGGGGAAUAUUGGACAAUGGGGGCAACCCUGAUCCAGCAAUGCCGCGUGAGUGAUGAANGCCUUAGGGUUGUAAAGCUCUUUCGGCGGGGACGAUGAUGACGGUACCCGCAGAAGAAGCCCCGUCUAAUGUCGUGCCAGCAGCCGCGGUAAUACGAAGGGGGCGAGCGUUGUUCGAAAUUACUGGGCGUAAAGGGCGCGCAGGCGGCUCUUGAAGUCAGGCGUGAAAGCCCCGGGCUCAACCUGGGAGGUGCGCUUGAUACUCGAGGGCUUGAGUGCGGGA
rnacentral:rRNA from 1 species